GUGGCUGUAGUUCAGCUGGUUAGAACGCCGGAUUGUGAUUCCGGAGGUCGUGGGUUCGAAUCCCAUCAGCCACC
rnacentral:tRNA from 1 species